rnacentral:rRNA from 1 species
GAUGAACGCUGGCGGCGUGCCUAAUACAUGCAAGUCGAGCGAACAGAUGAGGAGCUUGCUCCUCUGACGUUAGCGGCGGACGGGUGAGUAACACGUGGAUAACCUACCUAUAAGACUGGGAUAACUUCGGGAAACCGGAGCUAAUACCGUAUAAUAUAUUGAACCGCAUGGUUCAAUAGUGAAAGACGGUUUUGCUGUCACUUAUAGAUGGAUCCGCGCCGCAUUAGCUAGUUGGUAAGGUAACGGCUUACCAAGGCAACGAUGCGUAGCCAACCUGAGAGGGUGAUCGGCCACACUGGAACUGAGACACGGUCCAGACUCCUACGGGAGGCAGCAGAAGGGAAUCGUCCGCAAUGGGCGAAAGCCUGACGGAGCAACGCCGAGUGAGUGAUGAAGGUCUUCGGAUCGUAAAACUCUGUUAUUAGGGAAGAACAAAUGUGUAAGUAACUAUGCACGUCUUGACGGUACCUAAUCAGAAAGCCACGGCUAACUACGUG